UUCAAGAGGACGUUUAUACGAGCCGCUGAGCUGACACCCAGUAUUUUCCGCUCAACAACGUUUUAAACCAUGUCUCAAAUUAGCAGAGAGCUGAUCCAGGACAGACACAGAGAGAAUGCCGCCCCUCCCCUCUGGCUGUACCUUUCAACGGGCUGAAACCCCCACAGAAGGAGGGCCGGAGGGGAAAAGAACAGCAAUGUGUCUGUCCCAGUGUUGACAUGGGUGCCUGGACUGCAUGUGACACAUGACACGCUCUCAUUGAGCAACGGAAACAUGACCUGUGUGUGUGUGUUCAGUUGAGAUAAUGACGGAUGUGGCAACUCUAGACAGCAGGCUGAGCUGAGGCCACGCCCCAGGGGCCAACGCAAUGCAUGAUGGGACUGAUGGCUCGCGGCAUGUUUGAGUCAAUCCAGGUCACUGAUGUCAAAAGCACAGAGUUGCCAUGCCAAUCAACACAACACUAAUAACACUCUCAGAUGGGAAUUGUGGGGAAAGCUCAAGAUACUGAUGGUAAAAGUGGUCAGAGCGCCCAGACGGACUUUGAACUUGGUUGUUUCUGGCUUUUCCCAGUGUUUCUGUGGAGUUCAUCCAGAAGGUGGGGAGACAUUGGAUACCUGGAAACAAACACAUUAAAAAAUGUCUACUAUGUCUUGUUAUGUGUGUAUCAGAGAGGGUGUGAGUGACUGUGGUCUGUCACACGCGGCUAUUUAUUCAUUGUGUUAGCAGUGGAGUUCAAAUGAGUGUACAUCCAUGCAGCAGAUUUUACUGGUAGGCUGUUACUAAAAUAUCAUGCACUAGGAGACUASAGAAAGGAUGUCAACAAGAGCUGUGUUUCACAAACCACAUUUCAAACUGCUGGGUCGGCGCUUUCUGGUUGUUUUUAGAGAGCAGGAAGGCCUCAGUGUCAACGUUCUCUAGUCUACGUCUAUGGUGUUUCCCAAACCACUUUUAAAAAUACCUCCAGGCCGUUCCAUGUAUUUGAUCUGUUCCAGUACAAGCACACCUCAGCUAAUGUUUGAUAUUUAGCUGACUAGGUGUGCUUGUACUGCAAUAGAUCAAAUGUGUUGAACUGGCAGAGGGUAUUCGAGGAGAGGUUUGGGAAACACCAUAGGAGUAGACGGGAGAACGUUGACACUGAGGCCUUCCUACUCUCUAAAAACAACCAGAAAGUGCUGAGCCAGCAGUUUUGAGGAACUGAGAAUAUGAUGUGGAACUGUUUCUGUCACACAGCAGCAGUUUCCACACAUUCAUAACAACACUGAAUGAGAAUCACAUUUUGGUAGCGUUCCACUCCUCAAGAGUCGCUCCAAUUAUAAAUAACACCAUUUUACAUAAACACCUUUUAUGAGGUCUAGUAAGUUCAAGGAGGGCUUGUUUUGAUUAAAGUGAUUUGCGUGUGUGUCCGUGCAUGUGUGUGUGUGUAACCACGUUGAAAACUUCAUAGUGAAUGAGAGACAAGUGAUACUAUCACAGGGUUCCACUUCCUCUCCACAGAACCAUCUUCCUGUUGUGUUGCCAUGGCGCU